rnacentral:rRNA from 1 species
GGUGAACGUUGGCGGUGCGUCUAAUACAUGCAAGUCGAGCGAGGCUUCGAGCCGAGCGGCAGACGGCUGAGUAACACGUUGGUAACUACCCCAAACUCAUGGAUAACGCCGAGAAAUCGGUGCUAAUACCGGAUGGUCCUGUAAGGGUAAAGCUUUUACGGUUUGAGAGGUGCCUGCGUCCUAUCAGGUAGUUGGUGAGGUAACGGCUCACUAAGCCUAUGACGGGUAACUGGUCUGAGAGGAUGACCAGUCAGAGGGAAACUGAGACACGGUUCCCACUUCUACGGAAGGCAGCAGUAAAGAAUCUUCCACAAUGGACGAAAGUCUGAUGGAGCGACACCGCGUGCAGGAUGAAGGCCCUUGGGUCGUAAACUGCUUUUUUGGGGGAAAAAUUCUGAUUGUACCCUAAGAAUAAGCACCGGCAAAUCACGUG